AUCCAGAUGAUGAGUCCCAAAUAGGACGAAGUCAACAUCUUGCAU
rnacentral:hammerhead_ribozyme from 1 species